CACAAAGGAUCUAACUGCAGGGGGAAACAAAUACAGUCACAGGAAAAUGUUAAAAGCUGCUGAUACUUUAAUUAGGGUUGUCAAAGAGGAGUCUCUGAGGAGCCUGCGACUUGAGAUCUAAAUGGUGAGACAGUCUCACACAUCAGAGAAAGUGUUCCAGGCAUGAAAAGCUGCAAGUUCAAAAACAGACCAGUUAAGAUUACUGUGCCAGUGUGCUUGUCUCCAAACAUAUGACUGAGUUGUGUAGACAUUAAUAAAAAGGAAGAACAAAUUCCCAAAAUGUAGAGUCACAUCUAUUUCCAGGGGAAUGGUGGAAAAGGCAGAAAUUCAUGGAUGUACAAAUGACUGAAAUAAGGUGACUGAUGAAUGCUCAGCCUAAACAUGAAUUCUAUAGGAUCCCUUCUAAGGCUCAAAGACAUUGUGAGAAAGGAAUUAAAAGGAUGUAAGAAUCUGAAGAUGGAGAAGACUCCACAAUGCCAUCUUCUAAGAUUUUAAUGACAAAGUAGCCCUGUAUGCCUGCACUAGAUCUGCACAAAACCUCAUCCAUCAACUGUCAGGCAUGGAUGGAAAAGAGCCUCAGCACUCCCUGUCUUUCACUGCCAAACUAUUUCUUGUUUGUGAUGGUGAUUCUUGCUUGUCAACUUGGCUAUAUUUAGAAUUAACUAAAACCUAAGCAGCUGGGAAUACCUUUUUUUUCUUAAUUAAAUCAUUUGAAGUAAGACCCACUCCAAAUCUGUAUUUUUGAGGUGGGAAGAUACACUUUAAUCCAGAUCUUUUGAGGCUA